CAGCACCGGGUGGGGAUGGAGAGGGGGAACGCAGCAGGUGAGGGAGAGCGUGGGGCACCAGAGCAGAGGGGAGGACAGGCAGGAACAGCACAGAAAGCCGGUGACUGCAGAGUUGGCCGUUGUUUUAGCACUGGGAGGGUGAGCGCACUGACCCGCAUCGGCACGCGGGCGCCUUCCCUGCCUGGUGUGGCGAGGGCAGGCGAGCCCCGGCUGCACCCAUUACCUGCAGAUCUCUCCUCAGCCAAGCGCAAAUUCGCCGACUCCCUCAACGAGUUCAAAUUCAACUGCAUCGGCGACGCGGAGACGGACGACGAGAUCUGCAUAGCCAAGUCCCUGCAGGAGUUUGCCACGGUGCUGCGGAACCUGGAGGACGAGCGGAUGCGCAUGAUCGAGAACGCCAGCGAGGUGCUGAUCACGCCGCUGGAGAAGUUCCGCAAGGAGCAGAUCGGCGCCGCUAAGGAUGCCAAAAAGAAAUACGACAAGGAGACCGAGAAGUACUGCGGUGUCCUAGAAAAGCACUUGAACUUGUCUUCCAAGAAGAAGGAAUCCCAGCUGCAGGAGGCAGACAGCCAGGUGGACCUGGUGCGGCAGCAUUUCUACGAAGUCUCCCUGGAGUACGUCUUCAAGGUGCAGGAGGUCCAGGAGAGGAAGAUGUUUGAGUUCGUGGAACCUCUGCUGGCCUUCCUGCAGGGGCUUUUUACCUUCUACCACCAUGGCUACGAGCUUGCGAAGGAUUUCAGCGACUUCAAGACGGAGCUGACCAUCAGCAUCCAGAACACAAGAAACCGUUUUGAAGGAACAAGGUCAGAGGUUGAAUCGCUGAUGAAGAAGAUGAAGGAGAAUCCUCACGAGCACAAAAACCUCAGCCCUAACACGAUGGAGGGUUAUCUCUAUGUCCAGGAGAAACGUCACUUCAGUACGGCCUGGGUGAAGCAUUACUGCACAUACGAGCGGGAAUCCAAGCGGAUAACGAUGGUGCCGUUCGACCAGAAAUCUGGAGGAAAGGCGGGAGAAGACGAAGCUGUUAUCCUCAAAUCUUGCACGCGGCGGAAAACCGACUCAAUCGAGAAGAGAUUUUGCUUUGAUGUGGAAGCCGUCGACCGGCCUGGCGUGAUCACCAUGCAGGCGCUUUCGGAAGAGGACCGAAGGCUUUGGAUGGAGGCAAUGGAUGGCCGGGAGCCGGUCUACAACUCGAACAAGGACAACCAAAGCGAAGGCACCGCCCAGUUGGACAAUAUCGGCUUCAGCAUCAUCAAGAAAUGCAUACACGCUGUUGAAACAAGAGGGAUCAAUGAGCAAGGGCUCUACCGAAUCGUUGGAGUAAACUCUAGAGUUCAAAAGCUGUUGAGCAUAUUAAUGGAUCCAAAAACAGCCACUGAAACAGAAACCGAGAUCUGUGCAGAAUGGGAGAUAAAGACCAUUACUAGUGCACUGAAAACUUACCUGAGAAUGCUUCCGGGGCCACUCAUGAUGUACCAGUUUCAAAGAAGCUUCAUCAAAGCAGCAAAACUGGAGAAUCAGGAAUCCAGGGUGUCAGAGAUCCACAGCCUUGUUCAUCGGCUCCCGGAGAAAAACAGGCAGAUGCUGCACUUGCUCAUGAACCACUUGGCAAAAGUUGCAAAUAACCACAAGCAGAACCUGAUGACUGUUGCUAAUCUGGGUGUGGUGUUUGGGCCAACUCUGCUUCGACCCCAAGAGGAAACAGUCGCUGCCAUUAUGGACAUCAAGUUUCAGAACAUUGUGAUUGAAAUUCUCAUAGAAAACCAUGAGAAGAUCUUUAACACUGUGCCGGAGACCCCGCCGUCGAACUCGCAGCUGCUGCUAUCUCGCAAGAAGAGCACGGACUCGAAGCCCCCCUCGUGCAGCGAGCGGCCCCUGACUCUCUUCCACACGGCGCAGCCCAACGAGAAGCAGGAGAACAGGAACAGUAUCAUCAACUCCAGCCUGGAAUCCGUCGUAUCUUCAAAUGCAAACAGCUUCCUCAACUCCAACAGCUCUCCCCAGCCCAACCUGAACUCAAGUGAUCUCGAACUAGAAGUAAUUAAACCCAACAGGCCAAAUUCACUCAGUAGCAUCAGUCGCUAAGCUGCAUGCCAGAAGGCUGCACCAAACCAGCCAUGUCAUUGCAUCACUGUGAAACGCUGAGUAUAAGCUGUGUUUGGAAAUGGAAACGUCUGUUAAGUGGGACAACAAAACCUCCAGCUCUCCUCCCCAAAGGCAGAACUCUUCCCAACCUCUCUUCUUAUUCAAGUGGAAAAGCUGUUAGAUGCUGUAUAACGUUCCUAAAGCAGCCAUAGCGUUCUCUCUAUGGGAAAUAAGCCAAGCAGCAAAGUGACAGGACAAACCGAUGUGCUGGGUGUCUUGAAGAUUACAGAGAGACACUUCCAGAUUACUGUAAAGAAGAUCACGUAAGCUGUGCUCAUCGAGACAGAGGAAGUAAUAAAUUGAGAUGUGGAAAAGCCCAUGCUGAAGAAGCUGAACUGUUUUGGACCUAUUUGGUCAAGUGAUGUUGCCCACAAUGUAUUCUGGCUGCUUAUUUCCCUAAGUCUCAUUGAUUUGCACCCAAGUUAUGUAUACAACCAGCUAACUCCUGAGAGAAUAUUACCGGAGAGAGCUUUGGCAUCAUUUUUCUUGCAUUUAAAGCACCAAAGAGAGGAAGAAUCCUACCAGUCAGAAGCCUGUGGGCUCAUGGGAGAGCCCCUCGCAAAGUCCUCAAGAAUAAUAAGAAGGGAAAAAACAGGUCCAGAUGACAUUUACUUUCGGCAGACAACAGGCAGCAGCCAACAUUUCCAAAAAGUCCAUCACCACCUCUGCUAUUGCCAUGAGAAACAGAAAGGAAAUUGGACCCUACACGAAAAUGGUUCUCCAGAUACAGAGGCCUCUUUAGUCUGAUCACUCGAGUGCUCUUACUUCCAUCCAACAAAACAGGACUUAGGCCUUGCAAUCACGUAACUCAGCAAGGUGAUACUUGAGCAGUAUCUUUGGAAAUAAAUGCCAGUGUUUGACUGGAAGGAGAUAAGCCCUUGGUGCUCAUCACAGACACGAGGUCUGUAGGCGCUCGGGAGGGCCAGCUCAGGCAGGAUCCUGAGAAGUCCAUUUGUUCUUCCUGAGGCAAUGCACUGGAAAAACUUACAGAGGGAGAUGACGAGGUGAGCAGAGGUGGCUCAGUCAUCAUGGGACCAUCUCAUCUGUGAGUAACCCGAUUGAAACAGGAUCAUCUUCAUACUUAAGGACCUGCAUGAUGUCAUUAUUUAAUGUAUCUCUCAGUUGUUUUGGUGGGCAUGGAGAGUGUUUUCUUUGCCACCCAGAACCCAAAGCUACCAAAAUCCUGCUGCAAAUUAUUGAUAGCUUCUUAGAUAAAGGCUGGCCUGAGAGCCAGGUUCUUGCUGCAACACUGCAGAAGUAAUUCUCUUCUCAUUUGAACGAGAAUCAUUUGAUUGCAUUAUGCACCGUAAUCAGAGUAGACUGAACAGUCGGUGAGGCUGUGAUAGAGCUGACUUCUGCAAGUAGCAGGAGCUGCAUUCUUUUAAAAUGAUUUCAUCUCAAAACGCAUCUUGGGAAUUUGUGGUCCCAUUGCCCCUGCAGUUGGAUGGGUGCCCUUCCAACCAUGCAGCGAGGAGCAGCGGGGGCCGCUGGUGGAGGCUGCCCGGCGUCUGCACCCAGCGAGAGGUCCUCUUGCACCCAGAGCCCGCUGCCCACGGAGCAGGGCCACCUGCUGGUGUUGGUGGCCGGCAGGGGGAUAAGCCUGGCUGUGUUUCGGUCACUGUGUCACCACCCUGCUCCAGGGCUCCUCCCAGCCACGGGCAAAGCUCCUCUGUGGAAAAGGCUACGCUGUGCGUUUGCUUGCUCUAUCUUGCCCUGCCUGGGGCCUUUGUGGUCCCUUGGGGACGUCUGCCUGACGGGUUUGUCACCAGCAAGAAGAGGAGCUGGCGGCUGGAGGCGUCCAAGCUGUCUUAGGACUCAUCCUGCCCUGAAGAUGGAACCUCGCUGAAGCAGGGGCUGGGGGCUGAGAGGUCCGUGUCUCUUGUGAAGGGUAAGUCCAUGUAUGGAGCAGGUCACGGGCACCUCUGAAGAGCUCUUUGGGAUCACCAGGAUGGAGGAGGCUGCGUGAAUGGUGAGUAGCCAUGGAGCAAUGAAGGGCACAGCCAGCAGGCCCUCUGCUUCCAGGUGCUAGCCCCACACGUCCUCGUUCCGUUUGCACUGCAGACGUGCACCGUCUGAGAGGCUUGCACGGUAGCUUGGCUGCAUAGAGCCAGCAGUCGUUGCAUACAGGUAUUAACAACCAACGGACUUUGGCUUCCAAAAUACCGGCUCCUCAUGCAAUACAAACAGUGGCGGAGAUGUUCUGGUUCCUGAUGCCCAGAGGAACUGGGCCCUCCAUGUCUUCAAAUGGAUCUAACAUGCUCUCUCCAUUAGAGGGCAGAAGCAUGCUUAUGCACAGAUAAAAUAAAACCAAAUUACCUGCCCUGUGUGCUACAAAACUUCUUGUGUUAAGGGCAGGUAGGACAUCGUCACAGAUCACCAGACAACUAUGCCUGCUGGAAAGAAAAAGAAGCAGGAAGAACUGGCGCAUCAAGGGUUAAUUUCUGCGAUUUGGGAUAACUCGGUGGUCUUUGUAGCACCUCCUUCUGUUAAAAGUUGGAAAUAGGCUUCCUAUAUGGUAAACACAAACGUCUAGCAGCUUUGUUAAAGCUUAACUUAUGCAGGUAAUUACCUAUUUUUCUAGGACUGACGAUUUUGAUAGAAAAAUACAAAAAGAUUGUAUUAUAUAUUAUAUAAUACCGAUAAUUAUGAUGUGGACGUUGAUUAGGUCUGAGGAGCGGGGUGAACACUAAAUAUGAGGUGAAUUAUUUGAGGAUUCCUGCUAGUAUUCUGCCCGUUGUAUGACAACCCUCGGUGCAAGCUGUGAUGCCCUGCUGUAUGUCUGUACCCCUGUAACCCUCCGAUGUAAUAAAGGAGUUGCCUGUAGCUCCAC